rnacentral:rRNA from 1 species
UAACGGCUCACCAAGGCGACGAUGCAUAGCCGACCUGAGAGGGUGAUCGGCCACAUUGGGACUGAGACACGGCCCAAACUCCUACGGGAGGCAGCAGUAGGGAAUCUUCGGCAAUGGACGAAAGUCUGACCGAGCAACGCCGCGUGAGUGAAGAAGGUUUUCGGAUCGUAAAACUCUGUUGUUAGAGAAGAACAAGGAUGAGAGUAACUGUUCAUCCCUUGACGGUAUCUAACCAGAAAGCCACGGCUAACUACGUGCCAGCAGCCGCGGUAAUACGUAGGUGGCAAGCGUUGUCCGGAUUUAUUGGGCGUAAAGCGAGCGCAGGCGGUUUCUUAAGUCUGAUGUGAAAGCCCCCGGCUCAACCGGGGAGGGUCAUUGGAAACUGGGAGACUUGAGUGCAGAAGAGGAGAGUGGAAUUCCAUGUGUAGCGGUGAAAUGCGUAGAUAUAUGGAGGAACACCAGUGGCGAAGGCGGCUCUCUGGUCUGUAACUGACGCUGAGGCUCGAAAGCGUGGGGAGCAAACAGGAUUAGAUACCCUGGUAGUCCACGCCGUAAACGAUGAGUGCUAAGUGUUGGAGGGUUUCCGCCCUU